AUUGAACGCUGGCGGCAGGCCUAACACAUGCAAGUCGAACGAGUGGCGGACGGGUGAGUAAUGUCUGGGAAACUGCCUGAUGGAGGGGGAUAACUACUGGAAACGGUAGCUAAUACCGCAUACCCUCGGAUGUGCCCAGAUGGGAUUAGCUCGUAGGUGGGGUAAAGGCUCACCUAGUCGACGCUCCCCAGCUGUUGUGAGCAGAUGACUAGCCACACUGGAAAUUAGGAACGGUCCAGACUCCUACGGGGAGGAGCAGUGGGGAAUAGUGCAAAAUGGGCGCAAGCCUGAUGCAUCCAUGCCGCGUGGAGGGAGAAGGCCGUCGGGUUGGAAAGUACUUUCAGCGGGGAGGCGUUUCCCGCAGGAUAAGCCCCCGCUAACUCCGUGCCAGCAGCCGCGGUAAUUC
rnacentral:rRNA from 1 species